rnacentral:lncRNA from 1 species
UGAAUACUUGUAAUAUAUUCCCCAUUUCAAGAUUGUCUUUGCUUGUAGUGCUGUAAAAUAUUUCCUUUAUAAUUAAAAGCAAAGUUUAUAUAUUUUUGAAUUAGGAGAUGCUGAGCCAGCAAUGAAUACCCUAGAAUACAAACAGUUUAUGAAUGAUAGUAAAAACUCUUUAGAUCAGAAGAACUAGUUUCCUUCCUUGGUGAAUGUAAAUUGAACAAGGUGUUCCCGAUGUCAAUUUAUCGUAUAAAGCUACCGAUUCACUCAAAGAAAAUAGAACAACAAGUCAAGAUUAGAUGAUUAAGAUUUGUAUACAUGGAUGCCAAACGCAAAGUGUAUACUCUUAAAAAGAAGGUACAAUCCUGGAAAUCUCGUUCAAUAUGAAGUAUGGACCUAUAAUUCAACAGCCUCUCUUACAAGCACAAGCACGCCCACAAACAGUUAGGAAUAAAAUAAGAAGUGACUACAUCAAAAAAUUUAAAUGGAUCCUAUACAAGCAAAAUGCUCGUACCCAAGCCCAUAAACUCGCUUUUGAAGACAUAGCUGUCAUUAAUAACCUUAUAAUACCUGAACCUGUUAAGAAACUGGUAUUACUUAAUCUAUCGGCUGUGCCCCAUAUCUCGCCUAAGUUAUAACAUGGCACCUGAUAUAGAUGGGAAUUCUUUCUACAUUAGAAGAAAGUGACAUGGAGAAGACAAGAUGGGAUAUUAUUAACUCAAAAAUUGUAGAAAAAAGAAAAAUAGAGAUAUAAUGGCUAG